rnacentral:rRNA from 1 species
CCAGGCCCUACGGGGCGCAGCAGUCGCGAAAACUUCACAAUGGAGGCAACUCCGAUGAGGGAAUUCCUAGUGCUAGUACAUUAGUAUUAGCUUUUCUUUAGUAUAGAACGCUAAAGGAAUAAGGGCUGGGUAAGACGGGUGCCAGCCGCCGCGGUAAUACCCGCAGCCCAAGUGGUGGUCGAUUUUAUUGAGUCUAAAACGUUCGUAGCCGGUUCAUUAAAUCCUUGGGUAAAUCGGGAAGCUUAACUUUCCGACUUCCGAGGAGACUGGUGAACUUGGGACCGGGAGAGGCAAGAGGUACUUCUGGGGUAGGGGUAAAAUCCUGUAAUCCUAGAAGGACCACCGGUGGCGAAGGCGUCUUGCUAGAACGGAUCCGACGGUGAGGGACGAAGCCCUGGGUCGCAAACGGGAUUAGAUACCCCGGUAGUCCAGGGUGUAAACGCUGCAGACUUGGUGUUGGGGACCCUUCGGGGGUGUUCAGUGCCGGAGAGAAGUUGUUAAGUCUGCUACUUGGGGAGUACGUCCGCAAGGAUGAAACUUAAAGGAAUUGGCGGGGGAGCACCGCAACGGGAGGAACGUGCGGUUUAAUUGGAGUCAACGCCGG